rnacentral:tRNA from 1 species
GGUUGUUUGGCCGAGCGGUCUAAGGCGGUAGACUCAAGUUCUACUCUCGAAAGAGGCGUGAGUUCGAAUCUCACAGCAAUCA